rnacentral:rRNA from 1 species
UACGAAGGGGGCUAGCGUUGCUCGGAAUCACUGGGCGUAAAGCGCACGUAGGCGGAUCUUUAAGUCAGAGGUGAAAUCCCGGAGCUCAACUCCGGAACUGCCUUUGAUACUGAGGACCUUGAGUCCGGGAGAGGUGAGUGGAACUGCGAGUGUAGAGGUGAAAUUCGUAGAUAUUCGCAAGAACACCAGUGGCGAAGGCGGCUCACUGGCCCGAUACUGACGCUGAGGUGCGAAAGCGUGGGGAG